GACGAACGCUGGCGGUGUGCUUAACACAUGCAAGUCGAACGGAAAGGCCCUGCUUUUGUGGGGUGCUCGAGUGGCGAACGGGUGAGUAACACGUGAGUAACCUGCCCUUGACUUUGGGAUAACUUCAGGAAACUGGGGCUAAUACCGGAUAGGAGCUCCUGCUGCAUGGUGGGGGUUGGAAAGUUUCGGCGGUUGGGGAUGGACGCCCGGCUUAUCAGCCUGUUGGUGGGGUAGUGGCUUACCAAGGCAUUGACGGGUAGCCGGCCUGAGAGGGUGACCGGCCACAUUGGGACUGAGAUACGGCCCAGACUCCUACGGGAGGCAGCAGUGGGGAAUAUUGCACAAUGGGCGGAAGCGUGAUGCAGAAACGCCGCGUGCGGGAUGACGGCCUUCGGGUUGUAAACCGCUUUCGCCUGUGACGAAGCGUGAGUGACGGUAAUGGGUAAAGAAGCACCGGCUAACUACGUG
rnacentral:rRNA from 1 species